GGCGCGGCCGCGUGCAACUUCCGCCAGUUCAGGGGAAGCGGCUGUGGACAGGUACAGCGCGAGGAGCUUGGGGAGGUUCCGCAUGCGAAAUCUGACUGGGCCUCUGCCGUCAGACAUCAGUGAGCUCUGCCCUGGGUUGGGUACCAGUGCGGGUCUGAAGGAAUCACACAGCGGUUCUUGCCCUGGAGAAGUUGGCCUCUCUUUGGAGGCAGGGCAGGAGGGCCCACACGCGGAAGAUAAAGAACCUCAGGAGGCAGGAUAUUGCUUGCUCUGGUGAAGCCAGCUGCCACACUAUGAGCUGCCCCCACAGAGAGACCCACAUGGCAAUAAACUGGUGGUGGCCUCUGGCCAACCUCCAUCACUGAGCGGAAUCCUGCCAACCACCACUGAGUGCACUUGGAAGAGGACCCUGCCCAACUGAAUCUAGAGAUGCUGCCAGCCUUGGUGGGACCUUGAUUGAAGCUUGGCCCUGAGCCUGAGGACCCAGUCAAGCCAUUCUUGACCCACAAAAAAUGUGAAAUGAUAAAUAUUAUUAUUUUGAGCCACUAAAGUUUGGGGUCAUUUGUUACACUGCAACAGAUAACAAAACCGCUCUCUGAUGUGGCCUUCGGUGGCUACUAAUGAAAUCGUGUACAUGCCUGAGUCAAUGCCCACACCUGAUCCGACCAGAAAUGUUCCCCGAAGUUAAAUCUUUUCCCCCCAACCCACUGUGAACUAGCAUGUCUCCCAUUAAAUUUAGUACACCGU
rnacentral:lncRNA from 1 species